UUGAACAGUCUUAGCCUUAGAAGGUUAGCCGCCCUCGAGCCAAAAGUGCUUUUAUUGAUAUCAGAACAGAAUCACAAGAGGAUAAUAAGAACUAAAAAUAACAAUAUAUUGCUUUGGAAUGUGAGUUACAGUGUCUUCAGUGAAUUAUCAGACCCCCUUUAUAUAGUAGAGGAGUCCUACUUUAGGUACAAUUCUAUAGAAGUUAAAAAUCUCUUAAUUUGGUGAUUGUUGAUUCUUUAUUGAUACGUACCGAGAUUCCCGCCGCAAUAUCCGACCGGUCACAGAUAUUUUGGUCUUCUGUUAGUUAUCUCAACAAUGUCUCUCCAAACUCGUUCGAGGCUAAGGUCGACAUCGGACUCACCGCUAGUCGAAGGCAGGCGUUCCGACCUCGGGUCCUAGCUCGAUGGGACUCGAGGUCGAUCUUCAUUCCUUAGUUGCCACGUUCCAAACCUAAUCUACCAAGUCGUAGGCGAGCUCGAUUUCCACCGUAUACACUAUUCAUUGGAUCAAUGGGGAAAAUGGGCCUUUUAAUAAGUUGUUUUUCUUUCAAAAACUAAUACUGAUAAUAAAUUCUUUUCCAAUAAGGACAAUGGAUUUCUUUUAAUCGGUUGAGUUGCUUGGUGACGGAUGAAACACGAAGCAGCUGCUAGCAGACAAGAAAUGAAAAAGGCUAGUGUAUAGGCAGCAGCCGUUCUUGCUCGUUAAUUUUUCAUAUUCUAUUACUAAUAUGUUCACUAGGAAGUAUAACUUAAUUUUAGAGUAGAAAUGCUACUUAAUUUGGUGAGCCGUAAACAAUAAUUUGACAUUUAAAUAUCAAAUUUGACGGUAAAAAAUCUCUUAAUUUGCUGAUUGCCGGUUCCUUAUUGAUACGUGUCGAGAUUUUCGCCGCAAUAUCCGACCGGUCACGGAUAUUUUGGUCUUCUGUUAGUUAUCUCAACAAUGUCUCUCCAAGCUCGUUCGAGGCUAAGGUCGACAUCGGACUCACCGCUAGUCGAAGGCAGGCGUUCCGACC
rnacentral:lncRNA from 1 species